rnacentral:lncRNA from 1 species
UAUUUUGAUGCUUUAGAGCGAUAUAUUUUUCUUUGAGAGAUAAGUAGCACGCUACCUGCUUCGUUUAUUUUAUUUAGAAACAAACUUAGCUGGAAAUUUGAAUCAAUUAGGAUUCGAACUUGGGACCUCGGGUACCAACCAUCAAACUCUUUGCCAUUUGCUCUAGGGACGGUCGGUUAGAGCGAUAUUGAUAAUUGAAACUUCAUAUAUAUAAUAAUAAAAUUUUGUAGAAAUAAAUAUGCAAGUUAUUAGCUUUGAAGAGACACAUAUGCAAUUAUCCUUUAUUUUUAUUGUGCUUUUUUUU